AUGCACGACUGUACAGGAUGCUGUGCACUCGAGACGGGGAAUGGUCAAGUGACCAUGUUAAUCCUUACCUGUACAGUGAUGGACAGUUUGCAUUUAGUUUGGAAUACCGAUUUUCAGCAAUAUUCCAGAGAUUACACGGCCUGUCAAAAGUCGAGCCUGGAUUGGGAGCACCACUGGUCGAUAUGAUGACAACUUUCCCACGCUGUCGGGGUGCACAGUUGACUUGCCCUUGCGUGGUUUUGUGACGGGUGGCACUGGUGGGGCAGGAUACGCUCACCUUUUCGGAAAACUUGGUACCAUCGCAGGAUAGUGACUUGAUAGUGAUUCACAAACACAUGAUAAAGUCGGUAUCCUACAGUGGUGUUUGCUUUCAGCAGAUAUUUCUUAUGAUUGUCGAAAGUGCUUUGUUGCCUGUAUUUAUACAAUUAAAAAGUAAGUUUUUUUCAAAUAGGUUUUGAUUUUGCUUGGACAUGGCACGGGUUUGGCACCGAGCACAUAUUUAUGUAUAUAGUUGUACAAAGAAAGACACGCAAAGCUAAAAUGGAUCAUGCACCUGUACAUAUUCUUCCCUUAAACAAAAUUCUGUCUGUGAAACGUUUUUUCUUGUGAUGUUUUUUUAUAUGUUUCCUCAUGAAUACAAAGUACUUACAGCGAUA